rnacentral:tRNA from 1 species
GGGCGAGUGGUGGAAUAGGCAUACACGACGGACUUAAAAUCCGUUCCCCGAAAGGGGGUGCGGGUUCGAUUCCCGCCUCGCCCACCA